AUUGGCAUAGCUAAAGCGUCGGUUUGCCAACUAAUUCACAUUACAGGGAUCAAGAGUUUCGGCUGUCACCAUCUCAAAUGAUCAUUUAUUGGACAACGGGAAUUAUACAGAAAAUCUACAUCACAAAUUAAGAGUAAAUCAUUAUCGGGAUUUAGGAUAAUGAUAACAGAAAAAGAGCAAACGAUGAGAUGGAAACUUGGGUGAGUCCAUGCAUGCAUGCAUGGUCCUUCCACAUAUCUUAUCAGAAGAUUUUCAAUAACAGAAAGUCAUUCAGCAAAUGCAUCUUCCAUUACAAAAGGGAUUGCAGAUAAUCUCUUGGAGUUUGCGCCCCAAAGCCAAAUUCAAGACUUGGACAUUAUUCUCAGAGGAAUCUGAAGCUGAAUGCUCCGCAGCCAUAGCCACAGCCCAGCUGCUAAGGUGGCUCUGAAGUGCAAUAAAAAUGACAAAUGCCACAAAUAUUAGUACUGCAAAUUUGGCCAUUUUUUAGCACUAGAAGAUAU
rnacentral:lncRNA from 1 species